UGGGGAAUCUUGCACAAUGGAGGAAACUCUGAUGCAGCGAUGCCGCGUGAGUGAAGAAGGCCUUUGGGUUGUAAAGCUCUUUUGUAGGGGAAGAUAAUGACUGUACCCUAAGAAUAAGGUCCGGCUAACUUCGUGCCAGCAGCCGCGGUAAUACGGAGGAUGCAAGCGUUAUCCGGAAUUAUUGGGCGUAAAGCGUCCGUAGGUGGUUGUUCAAGUCUGCUGUUAAAGCGGGCGGCUUAACCGCAUAUC
rnacentral:rRNA from 1 species